rnacentral:rRNA from 1 species
GAUUUCUGGCGAACUGUAGCGGCCCGUGCUCGUAUCGGGCGUGUGUGCCGUGACAUGUUUGUCAUCCUUCCAGAGAGCUGCGUCUACCAUUCAUUUGGCCGGACGUACGCGAUCUGGAUCAAUUACUUUGAAAAAAUUAGAGUGUUUAAAGCAGGCUUAUGCUAUGAAUACAUUAGCAUGGAAUAAUAAUUUAGGACUUUGGUUCUAUUUUGUUGGUUUCUAGGACUGAAGUAAUGAUUGAUAGGGACGGUUGGGGGUGCUCAUAUUGCACGGCCAGAGGUGAAAUUCUUGGAUUCGUGCAAGAUGAACCUAAGCGAAGGCAUU